AGAGUUUGAUUCUGGCUCAGGAUGAACGCUAGCUACAGGCUUAACACAUGCAAGUCGAGGGGCAGCAUUGGAGUAGCAAUACUCAGAUGGCGACCGGCGCACGGGUGAGUAACACGUAUCCAACCUGCCGCUUACUCGGGGAUAGCCUUUCGAAAGAAAGAUUAAUACCCGAUGGUAUAAAGAGUUCGCAUGUCUCUUUAUAAAGAAUUUCGGUAAGCGAUGGGGGAUGCGUUCCAUUAGAUUGUUGGCGGGGUAACGGCCCACCAAGUCUACGAUGGAUAGGGGUUCUGAGAGGAACGGUCCCCCCACAUUGGAACUGAGACACGGUCCAAACUCCUACGGGAGGCAGCAGUGAGGAAUAUUGGUCAAUGGACGAGAGUCUGAACCAGCCAAGUAGCGUAGGAAGGAUGACUCGCCCUAGUGGGUUAGUAAACUUUCUUUUAGUAAGGGAAUAAAGUGAGGGACGUCGUCCCUUUUUGUAUGUACCUUAUGAAUAAGGAUCGGCUAACUCCGUGCCAGCAGCUGC
rnacentral:rRNA from 1 species